CUGCUCGCUUCGGCAGCACAUAUACUAAAACUGUAAUGAUACAGAGAAGAUUAGCAUGGCCCCUGCACAAGGAUGACAUGCAAAUUCGUGAAGUGUUCCAUAUUUUU
rnacentral:snRNA from 1 species